GAGCAAAACUGCAACAGUAAAGAAGAUUUGAAGAAGAACAAGAGGAGAAAAAGAAGUAUACCUGGAGAGUUGCUUGCUGGCCGGAAGUUGAACUAUCAUCGGCAAUUCCUCUAUCUGCGGUUAGGGUCCCUUACAACGAAAUAUCAAUCGGUACUCAAAUUGUCAAGGUACUUCCUUUAACCAAAGGGGAGCAGAGGUAAAUUCUAUCUCUCAUCACUCCAUUACCUUUUCUAAUCACUUGCCACUUUCUCAUUAUAACAUUGGUAAAAUACCUUUUUCUGGCCCAUUUAAUUUGUUUUUGCUAACCCUUUUUUUCUUUAAUUAAUUCAAUCAACCCUAAAAAACAAUUAAUCGGUAGGUCUUGUCCAUUAACAUUUAUUCGGCCAUUGGCCAAAA